GACGUAGGGUGCGAGCGUUGUCCGGAUUUAUUGGGCGUAAAGAGCUCGUAGGCGGCUCGUCGCGUCGACCGUGAAAACCCGCGGCUUAACUGCGGGCUUGCGGUUGAUACGGGCGGGCUAGAGUUCGGUAGGGGAGACUGGAAUUCCUGGUGUAGCGGUGAAAUGCGCAGAUAUCAGGAGGAACACCGGUGGCGAAAGCGGCUCACUGGACCGUAACUGACGCUAAUGUGCGAAAGCUAGGGGAGCAAACGGG
rnacentral:rRNA from 1 species